ACGAGAUGGAGAUUAGAUUCAGUACUCCUGUCGUCUUUCUAAUUAAAAAAAAAAUUAUUUGGAUAACAUUAUUCUGAUAGUGAUUUUUUUUAUUGUAUCGUGUAUUUGAAGUAUUAGUUAUCGAAAAUGAUCUCAUUUUUAUAUAUCACACGAUACAGAUAACUAGCGUUGAUAGAGUGAUACAGAGAGGAGCGAGAAAAUGGGACAGAGAGAGAGAGAGAGAGAGCAACGCACAUUGUGUAUAAUAUGCUGUAGUAGAACAAUUGUUGCCGAAUGUUUAGAAAAAAGAAAGAAACACUUGAAUGUAUCCUCCUUAGCUUGACGUUAAUACGUGUAUUUUAGACAUCUGUAUUUAUAUCUCCACGAUGUUGAUUAACGCAAUCAAAAAAUUGAGAAAAGUAAAAAAGGUAAAAUGACAAAAAAAAAAAGAAACGAGCGCGUGCCCUAUUUUUGUAACCAAAACGUAUUUUGAAUACGAUAAAAAUUUUCACAUUCUCGAAAUGCGCGUUUUUUCGCAGUAAGAUGUAUAUUUUAUUGUUUAAUGCUGUGAUGUGACAAAAUCGGCGGCGUGCAGUCUCUACCCAGAACUUCAUUUCUAUAGGAGGGAAGGAGAAAGGAAAAAAUAGUGAAAGAAAGGACAUAAGAUUUUGAGAACGAGAGAGAUUCUGUUGGUUAAGAAAAUAUUGGCGAAAGGAGUCUUGAAUAUCGUGAGAUUGGACGAGACCGCAUCGGUAAAAGAAAGCUUCGAAUUGUAGUGAAAAGAAGAAAAAUGGAUUUACAAAAUCAGUUUUGCUAUUUUAUCGUCUAUUAAGGACGUUUUCUUUUCUAUUUUUUAAUCUUUUUUUAAUCGAAUAAGUCCUAAAAUCUGUGAUGAGCGUUGAAUAAAUCAUUAAAGAAAUCACUGAAGAAGUCGGUGGUAAAAAGACUAAUAUAAUCGGCGCGAUUUUAUCCAAUCUUUACGAUCUCUUUCGAGAGGCGCUUAUUUGUUCGUAGCAUUUUCUAUCGCAUGCAUACUCGCUGCACGACAAGGUUAACACAACUUCCUUUUAGCAAUACUAUAGAUUUAUAUAUAUGUGUACGAUGCGAAACAGCCACUCUGUGCAAGGGAAAAAGGCGAGGCAGUUAGUAUAAUAAGGUCGUUUUUUCGUUAUCCAACCAGAAGCUAAGGCUAUCUUCGUCUUCAGAGAUCAGAAGACGAAAAUAACGUUAGUCGUGGUUACUUCUGGUUGCAUAACGAAAAAACGCCAUAGCUCGAGGUGCCCUUCACUUGUACAGUUGCAAGAAUUACGCUUUAGGGACGAAAAUCAUAUGACCAAUGUAAAAUACAAAAAAUAUCGGAAAAAUAUAUAUGUAAAUAUAUACAUAUAUUUACACACAUACACGUAUACACAGGAAGCGUGUUAAUGCGAGAGUUGCACGAAUAAAUCGUACGAUUUUCGCCCUUCUGUGCGAAAAAACUCCUACCGUAUGUGAUUACAUUCCUGUGUCACAUUGCUAUGGAUGUACCCUCGAUCGGAUGUUUAUCCAAAUAAAUUGAUCGAUAUAUGUAUCGCAAGGCGAUUAGGCACAAAUGCGAUUACAUCAAGAGACUAAGAUGUGUAUCGGCUGUAGGCGAUGCAAGUAAAACGAAGAGAAAAAUGUAGGUUGAAGCGAGAAAGGGCAGAGUAGAGCGAAGCGAAAUGAAGUAACGUUAUAUAUGUGAAGUAUAUAUGUACACACAUACCUUUUUCAAGCUCGAGAAGCCACUCGUACAUAAUACCGCGUAAAUCUCCUUCUCGAAACCCAUGCAGACAACGGAGGAGAUGAUGAGGAUCGCACCAGUUAGACUGGUCGACGUGGGCUUCUCGCCGAACAGCGCCUUUGUGACCAACACCUGACCGGUAAGGCCAGUUAACGCCACCAG